rnacentral:rRNA from 1 species
UACGAAGGGUGCAAGCGUUACUCGGAAUUACUGGGCGUAAAGCGUGCGUAGGUGGUGAGUUAAGUCUGAUGUGAAAUCCCCGGGCUCAACCUGGGAAUGGCAUUGGAUACUGGCUCGCUAGAGUGCGGUAGAGGGUGGUGGAAUUCCCGGUGUAGCAGUGAAAUGCGUAGAGAUCGGGAGGAACAUCUGAGGCGAAGGCGGCCACCUGGACCAACACUGACACUGAGGCACGAAAGCGUGGGGAGCAAACAGG